rnacentral:rRNA from 1 species
AUUGAACGCUGGCGGCAUGCCUUACACAUGCAAGUCGAACGGUAACAGGUCUUCGGAUGCUGACGAGUGGCGAACGGGUGAGUAAUACAGCGGAACGUGCCUAGUAGUGGGGGAGAACUACUCGAAAGAGUGGCUAAUACCGCAUGAGAUGGACGGAUGAAAGCAGGGGAUGGCAAGAACUUGGACUCCUAGAGCGCAGGAUGGCAGAUUAGGUAGUUAGUGGGAUAAAAGCUUACCAAGCAAACGAUCUGUAGCUGGUCUGAGAGGACGAUCAGCCACACUGGGACUGAGACACGGCCCAGACUCCUACGGGAGGCAGCAGUGGGGAAUUUUGGACAAUGGGCGCAAGCCUGAUCCAGCAAUGCCGCGUGCAGGAUGAAGGCCUUCGGGUUGUAAACUGCUUUUGUACGGAACGAAAAGCCCUGGGUUAAUACCCUGGGGUCAUGACGGUACCGUAAGAAUAAGCACCGGCUAACUACGUGCCAGCCGCCGCAGUAACAC